CGGUACAGGGGGUGCUUGCACCCCGCUGACGAGCGGCGGACGGGUGAGUAAUGCAUAGGAAACUGCCCAGUAGUGGGGGAUAGCCCGGGGAAACCCGGAUUAAUACCGCGUACGCCCUUCGGGGGAAAGCAGGGGAUCUUCGGACCUUGCGCUAUUGGAUGUGCCUAUGUCGGAUUAGCUAGUUGGUGGGGUAAAGGCCUACCAAGGCGACGAUCCGUAGCUGGUCUGAGAGGAUGAUCAGCCACAUCGGGACUGAGACACGGCCCGAACUCCUACGGGAGGCAGCAGUGGGGAAUAUUGGACAAUGGGGGCAACCCUGAUCCAGCCAUGCCGCGUGUGUGAAGAAGGCUUUCGGGUUGUAAAGCACUUUCAGUGAGGAGGAAAAGUUGGUCGUUAAUACCGGCCAGCCUUGACGUUACUCACAGAAGAAGCACCGGCUAACUCCGUGCCAGCAGCCGCGGUAAUACGGAGGGUGCAAGCGUUAAUCGGAAUUACUGGGCGUAAAGCGCGCGUAGGUGGUUUGAUAAGCGAGAUGUGAAAGCCCCGGGCUUAACCUGGGAACGGCAUUUCGAACUGUCAGGCUAGAGUAUGGUAGAGGAGUGUGGAAAUUUCCUGUGUAGCGGUGAAAUGCGUAGAUAUAGGAAGGAAC
rnacentral:rRNA from 1 species